rnacentral:rRNA from 1 species
CCUUGCCAGCCCGCUCAAGAACUCAAAGGAAUUGACGGGGCCCGCACAAGCGGUGGAGCAUGUGGUUUAAUUCGAUGAUACGCGAGGAACCUUACCUGGGCUCAAAUGUAUGUUGACGUAUUCUGAAAGGGAUACUUCUUCGGACAAUAUACAAGGUGCUGCAUGGUUGUCGUCAGCUCGUGCCGUGAGGUGUCGGGUUAAGUCCCAUAACGAGCGCAACCCCUACCUUUAGUUGCCAUCAGGUAAUGCUGGGGACUCUAAAGGAACUGCCUACGCAAGUAGUGAGGAAGGCGGGGAUGACGUCAAAUCAGCACGGCCCUUACGUCCAGGGCUACACACGUGCUACAAUGGCCGAUACAGAGGGCAGCUACCUGGUGACAGGAUGCAAAUCUCCAAAGUCGGUCUCAGUUCGGAUCGGAGUCUGCAACCCGACUCCGUGAAGUUGGAUUCGCUAGUAAUCGCGCAUCAGCCAUGGCGCGGUGAAUACGUUCCCGGGCCUU